rnacentral:snoRNA from 1 species
CAGCAGCUCCUCCUUCGCUCAGUGGACCUUUUGAUGCUGGGCUCACGUGGGCUGCCAGAAAU